GUGGGGCGGGGACUUCCGGUCUCGGCGUUCGUGGAGGGGCCCAGGACUUCUGCGGGGUCGCCAGAGUGGUCGGGAUUGGGGAGUGUUCUUCUCCGUGCCACUCGGCAGCUCCAGGACGAAGGGUCUGUCCCGCGGCUCGGAUCCCGCUCAUGCCCGGGAGAAGUCGAGCCGGCUGGAGCCCAGGCAGGACCCCAGAGCCCGCCGCCAGCCGGGCUGCCCACGGCCUCGCCGCCAGGGGCAGUGUCCUUAGUGAGUUUUCAAAAAGCAAAACGCCCCUGAUUUUAAGAAGUGAGCCUUAUUUUGAAUUUGGCACUUCUUUUUUGUUGUUGACGUUUGUUUUGCAAAACGGUGGUGUUAACAGUCUGUUUCCUCUGAUGUUGAAUCCCAGCUGGCCUUGGAACUUGCCUUGGAUACUAGAAUGUGGUGGAAAUGGUGCUGAGACGCUCCCAAGCUGGUGUACAGGAGACCUGGCAACCACUUCACACCUGUUAGAUGGGCUGUUAUCCAAAAACAAGAAAAUAACAACUGUUGGCCAGGAUGUAGAGAGCACUGCUGGUGGGAACAGAAGAUGCUGUGGCCACUGUGGAAGACAGGAUGAAGGUUCCUCAAAUAAUUAAAGACAGGACUGACUACCAUAGGAUCUAGCAAUCCCACUUGUGGGUACACACCCAAAAGCAUCGAAAGCAAGGAAUUAAAAGAUGAAUGGAUAAGCAAGUGUGGUCUGUACACAUGAUGGAA